UCGGCGGAGGGGGUAGGGGGGUGAGGCCGCGAGGUACGGAGGACCGGGGGAGGGGGAAGGGGGGCGGCGGCGGCGGCGGUGGCGGUGGCUCGGGUGUGCUCGCGGGAGGCGCGCGGGGUCGCGGGCCGCCGUCGCGGCGGGGGACCGGGCGAUCGGCGUCGCCUGCGCGGGAGACCGGCGGCCAAGACCCGCCCGCCCUCGCCGCAGCCGCUACCGCGGCUGAGCCUUCUUCGCGUGGAGGAGGCGCCGGCGCCGCCGGCGGCGGCGCCGGGUCACCUUCCAGCCGCUGGAGCACGAGCGGUUCGAGUUCCCGAUGGGCCGGACCGGCCGGUACUAAUCGCUCGGCGUCUUUACCCCCGAAGGAAGUUGAUUUUUCUUCAACGACCAGAUGAAAAUACCUUGAUUUCUCUAACGAAAGACGUUAAUACGACUAGAACUCCGCAAGUGACUUCUCUUUUUCUUUAGAGAUGAACAAUUUGCUGUACCCUUUCCUCGUCUAAAACAGUUUCGUCAAUUCCUUUAUCACCUUUAAAAACUAAGAUACUUCUUGCUCCUGUUAUUAUUCUCACCAAACCGGGGACGGUUGUUAUCGUCGUCAAACCUGUGACCUCCAGGACUUCUUCCAAGACUAAACCGGUUACUGUUGUUCGAGCUCCCAUUAGGACGGAGAAGGUACCUAGUGUCGUACCGGUCAUGGGGACCCAGAUUAUAACGACGUAACCUCUCACUUGUGACACAACACUUGAGACGUGGACUACUCGGACGAUCAAGUAAAAGUUUCUUCUCCUCUUCAUUAUGAGACGUUGAUCCAAGAACGUGAGUGGCACUAGAAUGAAGGGGUGCCUCCGGUUCUUCAAGUAAUCCACGACUAGUAUCCUGAGCCCUAAGAACACCCGGCUUACCAGAGUUAGACGGAGGACAACUAUACUGGUGACUACUAUCCGUCCUUCCAAGAAGAGCCGCAUUUACAUAUCCACUACUGUUUGGAUUUAGCCUAGAGGAAAGUCGAUGUUUCCUACAAUACGACAAGUUAACGCCAGUUCCGUGGAGUUCAGUUAGACCUCGAAGAGACUUACCAUUAAUACUCUUGUUAAGCUCAAGACGACGUUUAUAUCUUUCAUUAGAAUUACAACUUCAUACAGUUUGACAGUACCCGUUUCUUCUAUUAGAACUACCCUGUGUUCUAGAAAGGUGCUCGUGUUGUCAAUGAACAUUUUCUUUCGCUUCGGGCCUGUGGUUACUACAAUUAUUAAGAUAAUCGUCGCACCAUCGUUUAUACCUACUUCUUAACGUCGGAUUAAGUUCACCUUUGGACGGUCUAAGAGGUUUAAGUCCCUUACUUCAGUUAUUCAGUCUACCUCUACUGGUGAACGGAAAUCAUUUUUCCCGUGCCCAAGCUUACCCUUCUGGGGUCGAGCUCCUGAGGUACCAACUACUCGAACUAUAAAGACUAUUGUUUCAUCUCAACCGAUAUGGACAUCUACUUACAAUAUUUGUACUGAACAGAAGUAAUCACCCUUUUCUAGUAGGUCGACUACUACAGGGGAUAGCGUAUCUAGGAAGUGGGUUUCAUCUGUGUAGCGACCGUAGCCCUUUACUAGUUAGUCGACUCCUCCACGAAGGACCGUAUCUAGGAAGUGGGUUUCAUCUGGGUAACGACCGUAGCCCUUUACUAGUAAAUCGACUCCUCCACGAAGGACCGUAUCUAGGAAGUGGGUUUCAUCUGGACAGACGUAGUCCUCUUCAAGUCUGACGAACGUUCCUGUUUCUCAUAGUUAGUUUCCAAAACUGCAAUCUACCUCUUCGACGAAAUGGAGGUAGAUUUGCAGAGGUAGCACGGAAUCUCCGAUACAGACGAUUACGACGACUUUGAUGUUCAUUAGGCGGACUUCACUUAUUCCGUUUCCUCACAUAGGACUUCGGAACGUGUUGCAGCUAUCCUUCGAGAGGAAAAUUAUUGAGACGUCUACGUGAACAGUCUUCAGGUUCUAGACGUUGUUGAUUUCCGGGCCUUUAUACAAGUUGACAUGAAAGAAAUCUAUGGGGUUGACCGGAUUUCACAUACAGUGUUGGUAAGUAUAAUUUGUUCCUGAGGGGCAGAAGACAAAGUAACCUUAACUGUUUGCCACCGUUAGUACUAGAAGGUUUUCUGUUUCAAGUGUGGUCCCUACUACUACUAUAGACACCUUUAAGAGGUCGGACAAGGAACCUCAACUUUCUCGGACAGAAACAUAGAUUCAAACUAGUCAACGGACACCCCUUUCAUUCAUGUUUACUCGAGGGUCUAGGUUAACCAUUGAGACCAGCUCUAAAAUCAUUUUUAUAACUACCUACACGAAUAGGUGAAUCGGUACGUUUCUGACAACACAGUCCACGAUUAGUGCUAAGGUUAAGACUCGGUGUUUUAUUCUGUCAAAACCGACUUGGUUGUCAGUCACACCCACUGUCCUGUUCACGGAGAAACAACCAAUGAUUUCAAUGUACGUCGGUCUUACAACGUCCGCGAGCUUGUAAACUUCACGUACCAAGAAGUCGUUGCCGUGACUCUCUUAAGCUGGUGUUUUAAUUGAACUUCCUAUAACCAAAUAGAGGACUGGGCUACGGAUACUUUCCUGAAUAACGACGACGUGUACGAGUCUUUAAGAGAGUUGGUUGAAGAAAGUAUCUGUCAAAAAAUCUAAGGUUACAAUAAAGACUUGGAAGCCACUUAUAUGGAAGUCAAUUUCUUCCUAGUCCACCGGCCACAAGUGGAAGUUUAUGAUAUUAUUCCAGACGUAGUCUAUCCUAAGUAUGAGGUGUCUGAUCACCAUUCUAAGAAAGUCUAUUGUAUGUUGUUUUCUCGAACUUGUUUGGUCGUCCAGUACUACUUCGGUCCAGUCGUGCCUCCCGGAAACUUUUAAAGGAUCCAUGUAAUUGUUCUUGUUUUCUUACAUAUCGGGCACGUUGUGCAGAGCGAGACCUAACACGAUUCGUACCGUAACGACCCCUCCAUUACCUACAGUAGUAGCUUGCGGACCUUUUUCUUAGUUUAAAUAUGUUUUCCCACCUGGACAAGAAGGAACAACUAAGUUAUUAGGUCACGACAGCGUUAGUCUUUCCACCUCAACCUCUACGGAUAGGAAGAGAAUAGGUUCGUCAGGACGGUGCUUAUGAUAUACGAAGACGUGGAGGACCUUUAAGACGUACCCUCUUAGCUUCUGUUACAGAAUUCCAAAACUUUGAGACCGAACUCUCCUUUUGGGAAAGUCUUAUGUAGUAAGCAGUAGUAUAAUUCCUCGAACUCCGAGAAUUACUUCGUAGUAAACCCUGGAGAGCAGCAGUAAGUCCCUGUCUCUCUCGAGACUUACUGGGAAAUGCCCUAUUACUUCCUUACGAACAACUACUUAUACCUUCGUUAUGACCAAAGGUAGAAGGUUUAAACUAGACGCACUUUGACGAACUACUCCUUCCUUCGAGGAGGCUCCUAUCCUCGAAACUUCGACAGUGAGGACUUGUACUUAGAUGACCACGACUCGUUCCCCUCCCAAGAGUUAACCUACCACGUUUCGUAGCUGAACAGAAACUUCUUCACUUACCACUAGAACUCUACCUUCUACAUCGGGGUAGUAGACUUCGCCUUCGAUCGAGACGUACGGUUGGUCUAUAUUGUCAACGCUCCACAUGUGGCUGAUCAGUUUUACAACUAAGACAAGGAGGCGAUGGACUUCUGUUUGGAGGUUGAGGAGGGGGCAACGGUAGUAGAGGUGGUGGAGAUGGUGCGGGAGUCACAGGACAGUAAGUUCCAAGUGUCCAAGUUCCUCGUAACGUACACCGUGGACUAGCUCAGCUCGGUCUAUGAAAUUCUUUACAAGUUCUAGUCGUGGGAGUAAGAUAACGUUUAUUAGCUCCGUUGUACCUAGGAACACGCCAAGGUAAGGUCGGAGGUGGCGGGAUAUGAAGACCCACACGUCCCGUAGGUUUGGUCUACGUAGGCGGCGGUGGCGACGGAGGUGGCGGCGGAGGUGGUGGACGGCGUGGAAAGGUAGGAGGACCUGGGGUACCUUUAAAAAGACCCGGGGGUCAUGGCGGGGUGCCUUUAUUGAUAGUGGCAGGUGGUCGUGGUGGUGGAGGCUUAUUACGUAUGGUAAACGUCGGUGGUGGUGGCGUAGGUGGUGGUGGCGUAGGUGGUCCAGGCUUAGUCAAGGGUAUAUACGGUGGACUUGUGGUUGUUUCUCGUGUUGGAACCUUAACAUUAGGAGGGAUAGGACUCCCUAUAGUCAUGUUACCUGUACUGUCUCCCGUGGGAGGUAUGCUAUCCUCUGUAGUGAAACUACUAUCUACCGUAGUGAAGCUGCUAUCUCCCGCUGCGAAACUACUACCUCCCGUAGUAAAGUUACGGCCUCCCGUAGUAAAACUGCUACCUCGUAUAGUGAUACUACUAUCUCCCGUAGUGAAGUUACUGUCUCCUGUUUACGUGGUACUUAGAUACCUAUCUCCCUCCAAAGGAGGUGUAAAACCUGGUCUAGGGGGCAUGGGACUGGUAAAACUUCGAAGUAGGAGGGUGGCACCCGCUGGUAGCCUGCCAGGUGGACCAGGUACGUGGCUGACCAGCUACGGCGGAUCCUCUAGGUUCAUAGGAGGACCGAGGUCUGUAAGUUACCUCGGAGGUUACAGGGUACUUCCUCCAACCUCCUCCGUGCCUUCUGUGUUAUUACUAUCCAAGGUAUCUACUUCCCCGUCUUCGAAACACAGAGUUGGUACGAAUCGGAGUAGACACCAUGAGGAGUGUGAAAAAUACUAUUCUUACUUUACUAUAGGCGGACGUGACGUAGACAAAAGACGUUAAAGGACCAAAGUACGAGUUCGACACAAUAGUACCGUCUAAAUCAUGUUACCAAAGGUCUUCUCCCUAUUAAGGACUGUUAAAAUUACCAUGUAGAAAGUUAGGUGAAGCAGACUUCUUUGGUGACAAAUCAACGAACCCCUGUGACGAACAGACUGUGUAGUACAAUGUUAAAAUAAGGUCCAAUAUCUAAAAUCAAAAGAAAGGAAAACGGAAACCACCCGGCACUUCCCCUAGAAGUAACAGAGGUAAGCGCCUGCCCGAAUCGUACUUUAGAGAAACGUUUUCUUCUCUACCUUGUCCGGGACCAACAUGUUUACAUACAGUGGUAAGAAGACGUUUACGUCUUUGCCUUCCCUGAAGUUACCACGCAUCUCGACAAGACAUUGUUAGAUCAAUCGGAAUGUCAGAUGGCACAACAACUCUUUAAGAAGUGAUAACUAAAGGUAAGUUUAUAGGGAAAACAUUAGGUUGACAGUAAAGUUGAUGGAAUGACUUUGACGGACUGUAACAUAUAACGGUGUUAGAUCUUACAAGAAAACGCCCACAGACUGACAUACCACCGUGAAUCAAAAGUCUUAGUUGACACUUCAAAAGGCUUAGUUGAAAA
rnacentral:rRNA from 1 species